UGGGGAAUCAUGGUCAAUGGGCGAAAGCCUGAACCUGCGACGCCGCGUGAGUGAUGAAGGUCGUAAGAUCGUAAAACUCUUUUCAGGGAUCUUAAAGCCUGUCCGUCAACAACGGGCAGGUGUGACUCUCCCUGGAAUAAGCCCCAGCCAACUACGUGCCAGCAGCUGCGGUAAUACGUAGGGGGCGAGCGUUAUUCGGAAUUACUGGGUGUAAAGGGUAUGUAGGCGGUUCCUCAAGUCGCGUGUCAAAGUCCAGCGCUCAACGCUGGGUUCGCACGCGAUACUGAGAAACUUGAGGGCUGGAGAGGUGAGCGGAAUUCCCGGUGUAGUGGUAAAAUACGUAGAUAUCGGGAGGAACACCAGCGGCGUAGGCGGCUCACUAGACAGUUUCUGACGCUAAGAUACGAAAGCGUGGGGAGCAAACAGG
rnacentral:rRNA from 1 species